rnacentral:rRNA from 1 species
AUUGAACGCUGGCGGCAGGCCUAACACAUGCAAGUCGAGCGGAUCGGCGGAGGGGGGCGUAAUGCCAAGGAAUCUGCCAGGUAGUGGGGGAUAACGUUCGGUAACGGGCGCUAAUACCGCAUCCUCUCAGAAGAGCCUAGGUCGAAUUAGCUAGCUGGUGGGGUAAAGGCCUACCAAGGCGACGAUCCGUAACUGGUCUGAGAGGAGGAUCAGUCACACUGGAACUGAGACACGGUCCAGACUCCUACGGGAGGCAGCAGUGGGGAAUAUUGGACAAUGGGCGAAAGCCUGAUGCAGCCAUGCCGCGUGUGUGAAGAAGGUCUUCGGAUUGUAAAGUACUUUAAGUUGGGAGGCGUUACCAGCAGAAUAAGCACCGGCUAACUUCGUGCCAGCCGCCGCGGUAAUUC